UAAACUUCUCGACCUUUUUUGGCUAAGAUCAAGUGUAUCUGUUCUUAUCAGUUUUAAUAUCUGUCACGUCCCCUAUCUAGGGGACCAUAUAGUAAAUAGUUUUUGGGACAGGGAGAUGGAAGAAGAGCAUGUCACUCCCACACGAUGACCUGAGCAUUGCAGUACCUCAGGACCGGUGCACCUCUC